AGUGAACGUGGCGGCGUGCCUAAUACAUGCAAGUCGAACGGAAUUUAAAAGAGCUUGCUCUUUUAAAUUUAGUGGCGCACGGGUGAGUAAAAUAUAGCUAAUCUGCCCCUUGCUGGAGGACAACAGUUAGAAAUGACUGCUAAUACUCCAUACUCCUUUUUACCAUAAGAUAAAUCGGGAAAGAAUUUCGGCAAGGGAUGAGACUAUAUCGUAUCAGCUAGUCGGUGGGGUAACGGCCUACCGAGGCUAUGACGCGUAACUGGUAUGAGAGGAUGAUCAGUCACAUAGGAAGUGAGACACGGUCCAAACUCCUACGGGAGGCAGCAGUAGGGAAUAUUGCGCAAUGGGGGAAACCCUGACGCAGCAACGCCGCGUGGAGGAUGACACU
rnacentral:rRNA from 1 species